rnacentral:rRNA from 1 species
UCUAUACAAAUAAACAAAAAGUAUAGGAAAGUAUAUAAAGAAACUAUUAGGGAUACCUGGCUAUAUAUUAAAGAGAGUCACCAACUGGAAUUAAAAAUUUAAAUUGUGAAUAUGCCUACUAAACCUAGGCUUAUUUUUUCACAUGUACUCUUAGAGAAAUUCAAUAAUAAACGAAGUGAAUCGAAAUAUCUUAGUAACUUCAGGAAAAGAAAUCAAACGAGAUUCUAUGAUUAGUGUGAAUGAAAGUAGAAAAGUCUAAUGCAAGUAAAACGGGCAAAACCUGUUUGAACAUAUAGGGGAACCUUCCUCUAAGACUAAAUAUAAUAUAUAAGCGAUAGCGUAAAAGUACGGUGAAGGAAAGGUUAGAAAUAGUAGUUUUAUAAGCAGCUCGAGUUAAAUUUAAAUAAUAAGUAAGAGCGUACCUUUGGCAUAAUGGGUCAGCGAGUUAAUAUUAGAUGCGAGCAGAAAUGCCCAGAUAAACCAAUUAUGAAAUAAUGAAUUAGUAUCUAAAAUUAGACCCGAAGCCUGGUGAUCUUACUACAGUCAGGGUUAUAAAAGCCCGAACGGUUUAUCGUUGUAUAGAUAUCCGAAGAACUGUGGUAAGUUAGUGAAAGACAACACUGACUAGGAUAGCUGGUUUUCUGCGAAACCUAUAUAAGUAGGUAAUUCAAACUACAUCAUAGCAGGUACAGAACUGUGAUCUCAGGCAACUACUGUUUUAAUAUUUAAUAGGCUAUGCUUUUUAGUUAGCCAUAUGGAUAUGAGAUAAUUUUGCAUAUAUCGGGGGAUCGUGAUGAUUUUAUCGGUGAGUAUUCGCACUCGGAAGGGCAAUGAUGAAUAUUGAAUAAUCGGACAUAGUACGAUAAGGUUGUAUGUCUAAAGGGAAACAGCCCAGAACAAGAGUUAAGGUUCCAAAAUUAUUGUUAAGUGAAAUUAAGGAAGUUUCUAUCUAAUACGACUAGGAAAUUGACUUAGAAGCGGCUCAUUUUUUGAAGAUCUCGUAACAGAGCACUGGUUUAGUAAUUAUUUAAUUACUUUGAUAGUUGCACCGAAAAUUUAACGGAUCUAAACAAUAUACCGACACCUUGUCCAUUUAAUAUUCUAUUUAAAUAGUAUAUUUAAUGGGGUAGCAGAACGUUGGGUAAAUCUAGACUAUUCUUUUUAAGAACAUUAGUUGUAUAGAGAUUUCAUAAUUUAGCAUAACACAGUUGAAUUAAUUAUUGAUAGUUGUUAUGAAAGAUAUUAAGUUAUCAUUGUAAUGAUAGAUAAUUAUUUUAGCUGCUUAAUAUAGUUUAUGUUGUGUUAAAUUGGUUUUUCUUUAAUGAUAACCCAAGUGAGAAUGCUGACAUGAGUAACGAAAAGGGGUGUUUACACCCCCGCCUAAAGCUUAUGGUUUUUAUAAAGUAACGGCCUCUAAGUUUACCAACCUAAGGGAUUAAACGAUGAGCAAAACUUGGUUACAAAGUAACAACCGAUUGCAUAACAGUGAAGAAGGUUCUGGAAAAACAGUAAUCGGUAGUUAUAAUAUGUGGGUUUAUUUUAUUAAAAUUAUGCAAUAAACUCUAAGUCUAGGUUAGAUUAUAACUGAAUUUUAUCUAGGUUCUCUAGAUUAGAUUCUAAUUUAGUCUAAACUAGACUAUAAACCCCUAGCUAUCUUUAGCUUAAUAAAUAAAUAUUCAUGUAAUAAAAACCUAGUCGCAAGACUGCUAAACCGUACCUAAAAACUACCACAAGUAAGCUAGUAGAGAAUACGAAGGCGUUUGAGUGAACAAUCAUUAAGGAACUCGGCAAACUAACUACCGUAACUUCGGGAUAAGGAGAGCCAUUCCUCCUAAUUAAUAUUAGGUAAAGAAUAGGAAGCAUGGAAUAGUGUUGUACGACUGUUUAAUUAAAACAAAGCACUCUGCAGUAAGAUAAUAAAUCAAAGUAUUGAGUGUGAUUUCUGCCCGAUGUCGGCUGGUUAACGGAUUUUCUAAGCUGACUAAUAUAAGCUUGGUUUUGAAGGAAACCCCGAUCAAUGGCGGCCUUACCUAUGAGGGUCCUAAGGUAGCGGAAUACCCUGGCCGUUAAAUGCGGUCUUGCAUGAAUGAUUUAACGAUACAACAGCUGUCUCAAUGAUUGGCUCAGUGAAAUUGGAAUAACUGUGCAGAUACAGUUUACCUCUAGUUAGACGAGAAGACCCUAUGCAGCUUUACUGUUACUAGUAAUUGGAUAUGAUAUUGUACGAUUUUUAGAGAAUAAGGUAGAAAGUAGAGGUCCAAAAUUGAAACACCUUUAUUUAUAUAAUCAUAUUGGUAGAGAAAGUCUACGUCAGAGUAUAUGGCGUUAUCCUCCGCAAGAGGAGAUGUUAAAUAGGGUAGAAACUAACCUCCGCUCUCCAUAAAUACAACGAUUAACCUUAAGGGAACAAUUGCUAGGAGGCAGUUUAUGCGGGGCACAGAUCCCAUAAAAAGUACCUGGGUGUAUCCAAAGUUAAUUUGGUAAAAUUGUCGUAAUUUUAAUAUAUUAUGACAGAAAAAUAUAGCAUUUUUCUACUCUGCAUGCGGAGCAAAAGAAAUUGGGUAUAUUUUGCUUUAUUUUUAGUUUGUUAUUUGGUAUAGCUUAAGCUAUAACCAAUCCAGCUAUAUAUCUAAUUAAGUUAGAACUAACAUUUUUAAAUCAAGUAAGAUUUUAACUAUAUGGAAAAUAGAUGUAAUUAAAACAUUAGUUUUAAAUUUUUAAUGUUUUUAGUUAUAUUAUUCAGUAUGCUAUUAAAAAAACAUAGGGAUGUAAAACACCCCUUUAUGUGAAUAGUUAAGAACACUAAUAAUAUAAUUAUGUUUAUUACUUGUCAAGUUUAAUGGCUUAAUCUUGCUUUACUGUUUGACUUACACGU